GUUUGAUGAUGAUGAGGAAGAUGGGUCUCUACCUCAACGCAUGGUGCCCUGUAACCAGGUUGUUGCUCUUCCAGAUGGACAUCGCCAGUGAAAUAUAGUUACUCUUUACACGUCCAGAGUCACUAAAUUUGGACAAUCUACUGUAUGUAUCUAUUAGUCUUCUAAGGGUGAGCUGUGAACCUAUUCACAUUUAGUUCGUAGCAUUGUUACUUAUCCAGAAAAAGAAAAUAUUAUCUAUGUCGUGCAAUGUAUUUAUCAAAGAAAAUCUUUGCUGUACGAUUUUCUAGUGUUCUUGGUGUACAGUAAUUGGACAUGAAAAAAU
rnacentral:misc_RNA from 1 species